rnacentral:tRNA from 2 species
GGACAGGUGGCUGAGUGGUUUAAGGCGCAGGCCUGGAAAGCUUGUGUACGUUAAUAGCGUACCGUGGGUUCGAAUCCCACCCUGUCCG